GAGUACCCACGCGGUCGAUGUGGUUGGACUAAGUAUUGGUGCUGCAGAAGGUGGGGGCCUCAUUACGGCUAACACAAACGCCAGAAUACAGUGGGAUCACUGAUUUUUACAGGCACCUGUUUCAUCACAGUCAGAUUUUGUGGUCUUUUUUGUCACCUUUCUUCACAGAAAUAAAAUUCAUGAAAUAUCUAGACAAA